ACGGUUAUAAAUCAACAUAUUGAUUUAUAAGCAUGGAAAUCCCCUGAGUGAAACAACGAAUUGCUGUGUGUACGCUUUGCCCAUCUCCCACGAUGGGCUUUUUUUUAA
rnacentral:other from 1 species